CUUGACACUGAACAUUGAGCCUUGAUGUGUAGGAUAGGUGGGAGGCUUUGAAGCGUGGACGCCAGUCUGCGUGGAGCCGACCUUGAAAUACCACCCUUUAAUGUUUGAUGUUCUAACGUUGGCCCCUGACCGGGGUUGCGGACAGUGUCUGGUGGGUAGUUUGACUGGGGCGGUCUCCUCCCAAAGCGUAUGGGACGUGCACGCCA
rnacentral:rRNA from 1 species